rnacentral:rRNA from 1 species
CUACGGGAUGCAGCAGUCGGGAAUCUUUUGCAAUGCGCGCAAGCGUGACAGAGCGAGCCAGAGUGUUUUUCCAUAAUGGAAAAACUUUUUUGAAAUGUAAAAAGUCUCAAGAAUAAGGACCGGGCAAGACUGGUGCCAGCCGCCGCGGUAAUCCCAGCGGUCCAAGUCGCAGCCACAUUUAUUGGGUCUAAAACAUCCGUAGCUUGCCGAGUAAGUCUUCUGUGAAAUCUGGCCUCUUAAGGGUCGGGCGCGCAGGAGAUACUGCACGGCUAGAGACUGGGAGACGUAAGAAGUACUGGAGGGGUAGCGGUAAAAUGCGUUGAUCCUUCCCGGACUAACAACAGCGAAGGCAUCUUACGAGAACGGAUCUGGCAGUGAGGGAUGAAGGCUAGGGUCGCAAAGUGGAUUAGAUACCCCCGUGGUC